GCAUACCUAUACACAGACACAAACUUUUAUAGCUCACUCCAAAGGAUAAACACGUUGGUCUUUUGUAUUCUUACAGCACUGGGGAAAUCUCUUACAUGUGCAUUGGCUUUUAGUAUGUAUUUUGCGGCACACUUCUAUUUAAAGCUCAACUAUACUUUACAAGGAGGGAUGGCUUCGGCAGCUGUUGUUAGGUGUCUAUUUGAUCCCAGACCUAAUUGUAUUCUGGGGCUUCCUUCAGUUCAUUGUCUCUGUGUAAAAAUAAACCUGUAUCACAUGCCUCCCCUGGGGGAAUAUUGGAGUCAUAAGACAGUAUGUAAAACAAACCUUUGAUGUAGUUUCCAUCAGUGUCCCAGUGAACCUUUCUGGGGAUAUUCUAGGCAAUGUGAGCUGAUCUGCUAGCUGAUUUGAUCAGAUGAGUGAGACUAGAAUACACAGGUGACUUAGAGUGACAAGUUGGGGAUGAAGGGACGAUAUGAGAGAUAUUGAAGUCAUCUGCUCGAAUGGUGGUGGAAUUUAGAACAAAGUUGUUUUAACCAUCUUGAUCUCCAAGAAAGAAGAGGGGAAAGCAUGUAGGAUUCUGACUGCUCUGAAACCCUCACUUUACGUCCACUGGCAGGGCUCCACUGUUGAAGAGUGGGCAGGCUUGGACUUUUCCCAAUUGCUCUCCAAGACCUUGAAAUGACUCAGAAUAGAGAAUUCUGAGGAUAUGAGCCAGUCCACAGAAGAUUAAAGGCAAAGACCUUUAGAGAUAGAGGUACAAGAUGGUGGAUCUUGACUGCGCCCAAGUUCCUUCAUGAUAAAAACCACCAGGUGCUCCUACUUAAGUUAGACAUUCCCAGGCUCCUUCACCAACUUGCGCUUUAGAUGAUGUCUGAUGAAGUCACAUUUAAAGAUGGUGAUCUUUAAGGGUCGAGGGAUGAUUAAUUAGCUUCUUGUAGCAGGUAGCACUCAGGAUGUCCACUUAGCCUGUAAACAGUUCUCCAGUUACACCUCUAACUCAUAGGCAGAACUCCAACACUGAUAUUUAAGUUCUGUCGUCUCUAUGUCCCUGGCCGUGAAGGAAGCCAUGCUGCGUGAGUCAGAGUCUCUCUGUACAAUUAAAGACUGAAUCCAGUGACAGCCAGUCUACCUCCAAAGCCAACAACAUACACCAGUCUUAUUCUGCUGUAUGAAUAAUGAGACAGAUCAAAUGACCUAUGCGAGAAAUAGAAAAAAUGAAACAUAGGUUCUUUCAUAUCUUGAAGUAGUUUGAUUUGGCUUCAAUAACUAGUUUACAGUCAGCCCACCCUGAACACACCUGAUCUCAUCUGAUUUCAAUAAUCACGAGACUUUAAGAAGUCACAUACACAAACACAUACUUAUAGACACAUAGUGCCAUCUUCAAGUUGGAGGUGAAUUGAAGUCAACAAGUCCUCUAUCUUAGCACACCAGCUCUUCUGGAAAGGCUAUCAAACAUUUGUAAUUUAGUAUACACUACUUUAGCUGGGGGAACAGAGUGAUCUAUUUGUAGAAGGGUGAGGGAUGGGUGAAGGAGGUGACAUGGGGAAAGCAAGGCUAGGCAGAGAGUUACAAGAGCACUGUCAGAGGCUGCAGGGCAUCCUAAGAUGGGUUCUGCUAAGUUCAUAAUUUCCCCUUGUAGUAGGAAGAGUUUGGGUAUUGUCUCAAUCUGUGCUUCGUCUGUGAUGAAGCAUGGAUAUCAGAUGGCAUUUUGCAUGUAAAACAGUAUCUGAUUGGGAUUGUAGAUAAAGCUUAAAAACAUGAAUGGGUUGUUUAAUAUAAUUCAAUGUGUUCAGCCAGUUGGGUUGAUGUAUGCUCAGCUGGUCUGUCCACUGCAGCGCCACCCUUGGGCUCCUCACCCAAGGAUGAAACAGGUUCUUUCUGAACAGAGAUCAGGCGAUGGUUGCCUGACUCUUGGGGCUGAAUGUAAGUUUGUCCUGGGUAUCUUAAGCGAGUGGCCUAUGCAUCUUGAUCUAUUGGUUGGGUAGUAUGAGCAGUUGUUUUGUUUUACACACAUUUUAAGGGCUUUCAGUGUAUCUCAGUGCUUCACUAUGACCAGUCUCUAGAUUCUUACAUGAAACUGUUAGUUUCUUGAGAAUUUGUCAGAAAGUACCCGAAGCAUCUUUUGCUUUCUGAGCACAAAAUGAGAAAUGCUGCCUUCCCAGUCCUCUUUUAACCCACUAGCUCCAGCCUUGUAAUAGGUAGUGUCUGUGUGUGUUUGUGGGGGUGUGUUUGGUGGAAUUCAAGCCCUAAGAAGACUUGUAUUCUAGAAGGGAGCGUUUCAUGCCUCUUAAACAUUCUUAUAUGAUUUCUCUUUAAAGGAAGUCCAUCCUAGAGAAAGGGUAAAGCUAGAGGAACUUGAAGAGUUGGGCAAACCUUUUAGGACCCUCUGAAUACCAACCUUUGACCCUUUACUGCUGUGGUGAUAACCAGAUUGACUGUAAGGUCCAUGUAAGGCUAAAGGUGUAGUUUGAGUAGUAAAAGAUCAGUGAAGGUCGUUUGAUAUAACUACGUUUAUAUCUUGAUGAUACAUUUAGAAAAUGGAUGUCUGAGGGCUGGUCCUGGAAGUCAACCCCAGAAGCUUGCUGAAUUCACAGGAGGAAAAAGAUUUCAGCGUAUAGUCCUUGGUUCCAUUGAUCUUGGGCUAUGAAGAUCAUCACAGUAGCAGAAGCACGUGAAGAACAAGACCAUUCGUCUCCUACCAGAGAGAAAAGUGCCAAAGAGCUUCUCAUGGUGUACCAGCUGCUUCUUCCUGGUUCAGCAGACCCAUGCCAUUCAGAGGAGCCUUGCAGUUUCUUCUGGAUCAAGCCGCUGCUACUGAUUUAUGUUUGGUAUUUUGGACUGGACUGUUGUUCUGACAACAAAGACUGGAAUCGACCUAGAGAAUUACUUCUAAACAGGACCACAUCCCCCAUCGCCCAUUAAUCUUUCUUUUCCCUACCUCUGGUAGAUUGGCUAGAAGGGAGGUUGAAGAGUUUAAAAUUCCUUAUUAAAGUAGGUUUUGAAAAACCUAAACCUACAAAUUAUGAUUUAACUGGAAAUUUCAGAUGCAGGAAAAUUAAAAGAAAAACAAAACAAAACCUACAACCCCGGAUGUUUUGACUACGAACCUGCAGAAUUUAAUUUGUGUCAACAUUAUUUGGGUUACAAAAAAACAUGAUAGAGUUUGUGAAGCAAGAGUGAGUCGUGUCUGAAAAGGAAGUCAUUUUUAGCAUUCUGACAGGAGGAUGUGGUCUUCCAAAGUUAGAAAACUGUCACUUUUGGUAAAUGGAGCAACUAGGUUCCAGAGGAAAGGUCUUGAGUUGUUAGACAGGAAUUCUGAGUUCAAGUCCUAGGAUCUCCUUUGCUGAAGCAUUUGGACAAGUACCUUAUGUCUCUGAUUUUCAGUUGUUGUUGUUGUUUUGUAAGGGAGGGGUGAUUUUUCUCAAGACAGGGUUUCUCUGAGUAGCCCUGG
rnacentral:sRNA from 1 species